rnacentral:rRNA from 1 species
AACGUAGGGGACGAGCGUUAUCCGGAUUUACUGGGCGUAAAGCGCAUGUAGGUGGCUUGAAAAGUUGGACGUGAAAGCUCCUGGCUUAACUGGGAGAGGUCGUACAAAACUAGCAAGCUUGAGGUUGGAAGAGGAGAGCAGAAUUCCCGGUGUAGUGGUGGAAUGCGUAGAUAUCGGGAGGAACACCAGUGGCGAAGGCGACUUCCUGGCCUGUUCUUGACGCUGAGGCGCGAAAGCUAGGGUAGCAAACGGG